rnacentral:rRNA from 1 species
GACGAACGCUGGCGGCGUGCCUAACACAUGCAAGUCGAACGGAGUUAUUUCGACAGAUUCCUUCGGGAUGAAGAUGACUUAACUUAGUGGCGGACGGGUGAGUAACGCGUGAGCAACCUACCUUUCAGAGGGGGGACAACAGUUGGAAACGACUGCUAAUACCGCAUAACGUCAAGUUUGGACAUCCUUACUUGACCAAAGGAGCAAUCCGCUGAAAGAUGGGCUCGCGUCCGAUUAGAUAGUUGGCGGGGUAACGGCCCACCAAGUCGACGAUCGGUAGCCGGACUGAGAGGUUGAUCGGCCACAUUGGGACUGAGACACGGCCCAGACUCCUACGGGAGGCAGCAGUGGGGAAUAUUGCGCAAUGGGGGAAACCCUGACGCAGCAACGCCGCGUGAAGGAGAA